CUUUUUGGAGAAAAUGCUGAGAGCAGACAGAUCUGGGGGAAGAGACCUUGGGCUGGUUCUGGAGGGCCUGGCAGGAAUCUGCAAUCCACAAGCUGCUUGAGGGAAGUACCAGGCUUGCUUUAGCUAAGCCAUCGAGUCUGUUGUCUUCCCCUGUAAGAGACACAGGAGGCACCAUGAUUAUAAUCCUGGGCGAAUAACCUUUCCCUCAUUGGAUGUUAUUCCAUGGCUCCUCUUCCCCAUGCUAACAUAAGAUAUCUGAGAUAAAAGAAGGGAGGAGAUUAAAAGAAUAUACCAGGGAGGAAGGAAAAAAGGAAGGAGCAGGAGUCAGGAACCAGCCUUUCCCAGGACCCUCCUUCCUUUACUAUUCGUGGGCCCACGGGGAGCUGAGUAACAGAGAGAAGACAGAAAUCAGCCUAGCUGCUCACUGAAGAUCAGGAAAUGCUGUUGACAUCAUGACAUCUGCCAGCACCUUGGGGAAAGGAUAUAACCCCUUCUCAAUGCUAUUUCAAAGGACUUCAUUUGAACAAGGCUAUGGAUUAGUCAAAACCCCUUCUCCCUUGGUGGCAUUUUAUCACUGCCAUUCACUUCAGUCGUGCCAUCACUAUAGCAAUCAGCACCCCACAACAAGCCAGGGCCACUGGGAGAGAUGAGAGAAGCCAGCCCAGUGUAGCCUUCAGUGUAACUUCAGGAUUGUUCUUUCAUCUUCCCGGAAGUUUAAGCAUCCUAUAAUAUUCACCACUCACCCAAGAGCAUCACGAGGUCUCAAAUGAAUCUGGGCUUGGCUGAUUCAAUCAACAUCUUACCACAUCAACCUGCCCCAUGUUGAGGGACCCGAGAAUCAUCAACCCAACUGCCAUUCAUUUACUGAUUCUUCAAAUAUGUACUGAAAGCCUAAUGGUUACAACAGUUCUCACGAGGCUGGGGGUACAGGAGCAGACCAAAGAGUGGGUCCUUGCCCUCAUAGAGCUAGGAAUCUAGAGCAGGGAGCCAAACACAAAGUGCUCAUCAGCGUGGGCAAGGCAGAGGGUUUUCUCCAGAGAACAAGAGGGCAGAGAAGCCAAAUGGAAGAAUUUCUUCUUAUUUUGCAAGAAGAAAGAUAGGGCAAAUUAUUCCAAGACCAAGCAAAUGGCAGCUUUCCCCCUACUGAAGAGUUUAGAAA
ensembl:lncRNA